rnacentral:rRNA from 1 species
GUGCCAGCCGCCGCGGUAAUACGGAGGGUGCAAGCGUUAUCCGGAUUCACUGGGUUUAAAGGGUGCGUAGGCGGGCUUGUAAGUCAGUGGUGAAAGCCCGGGGCUUAACUCCGGAAUUGCCGUUGAUACUGCAAGCCUUGAGUACGGUUGAGGUGGGCGGAAUACAUCAUGUAGUGGUGAAAUACUUAGAUAUGAUGUAGAACACCGAUUGCGAAGGCAGCUCACUAAAGCGUAACUGACGCUGAGGCACGAAAGCAUGGGGAUCAAACAGGAUUAGAAACCCCCGUAGUCC